AUGGGAAACAACCACAACUCUAACCUAAGAAAGAAUUGCACUUCUUUUGAAGGCACCAACACUGCUACAAGAGCAUGCUUUGGAGACUCCUUUAGAGUUGACAUGAUCCACAGAAAAGAAAAUAACAACACAGACGUUUGGAGUGCAAAAUACCAAAUAGGUGAGAAACUAGAGCCAGAUGUUGAUCUUCAACUGCGAGUCAAACAAGAGAACAGAAGCCUUGAGAGCAUACGUUUCGCAUUAUAUACUGUUUAA